rnacentral:rRNA from 1 species
AGGGAAUCUUCCACAAUGGGCGCAAGCCUGAUGGAGCAACACCGCGUGAGUGAAGAAGGGUUUCGGCUCGUAAAGCUCUGUUGUUAGAGAAGAACGUGCGUGAGAGCAACUGUUCACGCAGUGACGGUAUCUAACCAGAAAGUCACGGCUAACUACGUGCCAGCAGCCGCGGUAAUACGUAGGUGGCAAGCGUUAUCCGGAUUUAUUGGGCGUAAAGCGAGCGCAGGCGGUUUGAUAAGUCUGAUGUGAAAGCCUUUGGCUUAACCAAAGAAGUGCAUCGGAAACUGUCAGACUUGAGUGCAGAAGAGGACAGUGGAACUCCAUGUGUAGCGGUGGAAUGCGUAGAUAUAUGGAAGAACACCAGUGGCGAAGGCGGCUGUCUGGUCUGCAACUGACGCUGAGGCUCGAAAGCAUGGGUAGCGAAC